rnacentral:rRNA from 1 species
UACAGGGGGGGCAAGCGUUGUUCGGAAUUACUGGGCGUAAAGGGCUCGUAGGCGGCCAACUAAGUCACACGUGAAAUCCCCAGGCUUAACCUGGGAACUGCGUGUGAUACUGGAUGGCUUGAAUUCGGGAGAGGGAUGCAGAAUUCCAGGUGUAGCGGUGAAAUGCGUAGAUAUUGGGAAGAACACCGAUGGCGAAGGCAGCCAUCUGGACCGACACUGACGCUGAGGCGCGAAAGCGUGGGGAGCAAACAGG